GAUGAACGCUGGCGGCGUGCCUAAUACAUGCAAGUCGAGCGAACGGACGAGAAGCUUGCUUCUCUGAUGUUAGCGGCGGACGGGUGAGUAACACGUGGAUAACCUACCUAUAAGACUGGGAUAACUUCGGGAAACCGGAGCUAAUACCGGAUAAUAUUUUGAACCGCAUGGUUCAAAAGUGAAAGACGGUCUUGCUGUCACUUAUAGAUGGAUCCGCGCUGCAUUAGCUAGUUGGUAAGGUAACGGCUUACCAAGGCAACGAUGCAUAGCCGACCUGAGAGGGUGAUCGGCCACACUGGAACUGAGACACGGUCCAGACUCCUACGGGAGGCAGCAGUAGGGAAUCUUCCGCAAUGGGCGAAAGCCUGACGGAGCAACGCCGCGUGAGUGAUGAAGGUCUUCGGAUCGUAAAACUCUGUUAUUAGGGAAGAACAUAUGUGUAAGUAACUGUGCACAUCUUGACGGUACCUAAUCAGAAAGCCACGGCUAACUACGUGCCAGCAGCCGCGGUAAUACGUAGGCGGCAAGCGUUAUCCGGAAUUAUUGGGCGUAAAGCGCGCGUAGGCGGUUUUUUAAGUCUGAUGUGAAAGCCCACGGCUCAACCGUGGAGGGUCAUUGGAAACUGGAAAACUUGAGUGCAGAAGAGGAAAGUGGAAUUCCAUGUGUAGCGGUGAAAUGCGCAGAGAUAUGGAGGAACACCAGUGGCGAAGGCGACUUUCUGGUCUGUAACUGACGCUGAUGUGCGAAAGCGUGGGGAUCAAACAGGAUUAGAUACCCUGGUAGUCCACGCCGUAAACGAUGAGUGCUAAGUAUUAGGGGGUUUCCGCCCCUUAGUGCUGCAGCUAACGCAUUAAGCACUCCGCCUGGGGAGUACGACCGCAAGGUUGAAACUCAAAGGAAUUGACGGGGACCCGCACAAGCGGUGGAGCAUGUGGUUUAAUUCGAAGCAACGCGAAGAACCUUACCAAAUCUUGACAUCCUUUGACAACUCUAGAGAUAGAGCCUUCCCCUUCGGGGGACAAAGUGACAGGUGGUGCAUGGUUGUCGUCAGCUCGUGUCGUGAGAUGUUGGGUUAAGUCCCGCAACGAGCGCAACCCUUAAGCUUAGUUGCCAUCAUUAAGUUGGGCACUCUAAGUUGACUGCCGGUGACAAACCGGAGGAAGGUGGGGAUGACGUCAAAUCAUCAUGCCCCUUAUGAUUUGGGCUACACACGUGCUACAAUGGACAAUACAAAGGGCAGCGAAACCGCGAGGUCAAGCAAAUCCCAUAAAGUUGUUCUCAGUUCGGAUUGUAGUCUGCAACUCGACUACAUGAAGCUGGAAUCGCUAGUAAUCGUAGAUCAGCAUGCUACGGUGAAUACGUUCCCGGGUCU
rnacentral:rRNA from 1 species